CUGUCGCUGCACGGCCGGGUCUUGUGUCCGUCGCACUUCUCGCUGGAGCGCGUCAACAGCUGCUGGGCCUGGUCGACACGGUCGUGUGGAAGGUGAGCAUCCAGCUUGCUGGCUGUUGUUAUAUCCACUCGUGCCUAGGUCGGGCUUGGCAGAGGUGAGCGGUGCAUGCUCUCUCUCAACGGAGAGGGCUGGCGUCCUGUUCCGUUCACGUAGCUGGCUGGGAUGCACUGCGUGCAGUACGUUCUAGCCGGUGAAAUGGCGUGCAGUCAACGCACACGAUGCACCAUGGUUGUUGGCGGCCAUAUGGCUUUAUCCGACCCGUCUUGAAACACGGACCAAGGAGUCUAACAUGUGCGCAAGUCUUGGGGUGACCGAAACCCAGAGGCGCAAUGAAAGUGAAGGCUGCCUAGCAGCUGAGGUGAGAUCUUUGCUCUACGCGAGUGAGGCGCAUCAUCGACCGACCUAUUCUACUCUUAGGAAGGUUUGAGUAAG
rnacentral:rRNA from 1 species